GUCCCUGCUAAACGCCUGUGUGGCAGGGAUCCUCUAUGUACCCAGGGGGGUCGAGAUGGACUGCGUGUCCCUUCUGAACCAAACUGUCAGCAGCAGCAGCUUUGAGGUUUACCUGUGCUGCCGCCAAGUCUUCCAGAGCACUAGCUCGGAGUUCAGCCAAGUGGCACUGGACAACUGCUGUCGAUUUUACAACCACACAGUCUGCACAUAGCUGGGACGGAGCAUCUUCCUAGCCUCAGGGCUCAUCCAGCCCAGAGAGGCCGUGGGACUCGUCACUACCUCCAUCCCACAAUUGGGAAGGGUGCAACGGUCAUCGCUGCUCCCAUGUCUGCCUCUCCAAGUACGAGUUCCCAGAGUCUGGUCUGCUCUCCUGCCCUUUGGGAGCCAACAUUCUGGUCCUCUUGAGUCCUCUUUCCUUGGGAACCUCAUGUGCACCAGCCAAAAGCCUCCUCCCUGCUCCCUCCCAAGCACCCAGCUUGUUGGGUAUCCCCCCAAAAGCUGUCUCUAGAGACAACUGGUGUCCUGCAGGACAUCAUCUCAUAAGGUGUGACGUCAAGAGCGGCCCAGGAUCCACUAGGUUUGGAACACAGCACUCAAUAAAGCUAGACAGAGGUUUGUUUGGUUUUCAGAUGGGUCCCAUGUAGGUCAUUCUGGCCUUGAGCUCAUUCUGUAGCUGAGGCGACCCUGUUCCUCACUCCUCCUGCCGAGCCCUGAGCACUGGGAGUCCAGGCCUGCACCACCACACCCGGACCAUAAGGACUUCUCAUUUGGGCUGUCGAGAGACCUCAGUGAGUAAAGGUUGCUAAACUUGAUGAACUGACUCUGAUGCCUUGGGCCCCCAAGGUAAAGAGGAGAGCAGUCUCUGCACGUUGCCCUCUGACCUCUACAUGCGUGCCUGGUACAUGCUCUGCCCCUCCCAACUGAAAAAUAAAUAAAACGUAACGUAAAGUCUUU
rnacentral:lncRNA from 1 species